CACGUAGGGCGCAAGCGUUGUCCGGAAUUAUUGGGCGUAAAGAGCUCGUAGGCGGUCUGUUGCGUCUGCUGUGAAAACUCGGGGCUUAACCCCGAGCCUGCAGUGGAUACGGGCAGACUAGAGGUAGGUAGGGGAGAAUGGAAUUCCCGGUGUAGCGGUGAAAUGCGCAGAUAUCGGGAGGAACACCGGCGGCGAAGGCGGUUCUCUGGGCCUUACCUGACGCUGAGGCACGAAGGUCAGGGGAGCAAACGGG
rnacentral:rRNA from 1 species